rnacentral:rRNA from 1 species
GACGAACGCUGGCGGCGUGCUUAACACAUGCAAGUCGAACGGAAAGGCCCUGCUUUUGUGGGGUGCUCGAGUGGCGAACGGGUGAGUAACACGUGAGUAACCUGCCCUUGACUUUGGGAUAACUUCAGGAAACUGGGGCUAAUACCGGAUAGGAGCUCCUGCUGCAUGGUGGGGGUUGGAAAGUUUCGGCGGUUGGGGAUGGACUCGCGGCUUAUCAGCUUGUUGGUGGGGUAGUGGCUUACCAAGGCUUUGACGGGUAGCCGGCCUGAGAGGGUGACCGGCCACAUUGGGACUGAGAUACGGCCCAGACUCCUACAGGAGGCAGCAGUGUGGAAUAUUACACAAUGGGCGGAAGCCUGAUGCAGCAACGCCGCGUGCGGGAUGACGGCCUUCGGGUUGUAAACCGCUUUCGCCUGUGACGAAGCGUGAGUGACGGUAAUGGGUAAAGAAGCACCGGCUAACUACGUG